rnacentral:rRNA from 1 species
GGCUUAGAGUUUGAUCAUGGCUCAGGAUGAACGCUAGCUACAGGCUUAACACAUGCAAGUCGAGGGGCAGCAUGAACUUAGCUUGCUAAGUUUGAUGGCGACCGGCGCACGGGUGAGUAACACGUAUCCAACCUGCCGAUGACUCGGGGAUAGCCUUUCGAAAGAAAGAUUAAUACCCGAUGGCAUAGUUCUUCCGCAUGGUGGAACUAUUAAAGAAUUUCGGUCAUCGAUGGGGAUGCGUUCCAUUAGGUUGUUGGCGGGGUAACGGCCCACCAAGCCUUCGAUGGAUAGGGGUUCUGAGAGGAAGGUCCCCCACAUUGGAACUGAGACACGGUCCAAACUCCUACGGGAGGCAGCAGUGAGGAAUAUUGGUCAAUGGACGAGAGUCUGAACCAGCCAAGUAGCGUGAAGGAUGACUGCCCUAUGGGUUGUAAACUUCUUUUAUACGGGAAUAAAGUGAGGCACGUGUGCCUUUUUGUAUGUACCGUAUGAAUAAGGAUCGGCUAACUCCGUGCCAGCGGCCGCGGUAAUACGGAGGAUCCGAGCGUUAUCCGGAUUUAUUGGGUUUAAAGGGAGCGUAGGCGGACGCUUAAGUCAGUUGUGAAAGUUUGCGGCUCAACCGUAAAAUUGCAGUUGAUACUGGGUGUCUUGAGUACAGUAGAGGCAGGCG